AGUGCAGGACAGGGUGACCUUCUGUCCCACAGACCCUGACACCGAGGCUUCCUGUGUCAGUCUGGACUGUGCCCAGGACCCUGGAACAGAAGAGGUGGAGACACAGAGAGGACAGCUGUUCACCUUGGCUAAGCCCUGACUUCAGUGUCGCAGCCUCCUCGGCAGUUUACUCCGUGGCCAUUUCUUCCCACUGUGGAUUUGUUGUGGGGUCAGCUCACCAGAACCACCAAGGACAGCGACAGACCAGCCAAGACCUGUUAGUUGGAAAGGCCUGGGAUGCUGGCUCUGCUCUGUCUCUGCCCACGUUGCACCAUGACAGGGUGGUUGCCUUUUUAUGUCAGUUGUGAGACUUUCUAUUAGAGAAGAAUUUCCUGAGAAGCUGCAGAACCUAUCAUUUCAUCCUGUGUGUUCAAGUGUCUAGAGCUGUGUAACCUCUGAGCUCUCAGUAAUACCCUCGGUCAAUUUCUGUUUGUCUGACGAGCAGCAACGGCAGCAGCACACGGAGCUUGUAGACGCUGGUGAGUCUGUGGCUGCCUUCCGGGCGCGGUCAGCCCUCCAUGUCCAGGUCUCCACAUCCAGGGAUCUAAUCAGCCACAGUGAAAAAGUGUUUGACAAAACAAUGAAGACGCACAGCCGUGCACAGUAGUACACGUGGAAUACAGCAGGACAGCGGUGAGCGCAGAGUCUACGCGGGAUGAGGUAACACAGUUACAGCACACUGGAUUCCGGGCUCUCUGGACCAGUUCUUCACAUAUCACCCACCAUUCCCGCAACUACCAGCCUCAGGCACACAGAGGAUUCAGUUCAGAUGCGUCCCUUCCCUAUUUUUCUUUGUGUGGUCUCAAUUAGGGCCGUCCUGAGAGUUCAGGCAUCUGGUCCUGUGAUCCAGGAUGUUAUGAUCAUAUCUGCACCCAGGCUCGGUUACAAGCAGGCUCAUGACUUGGUCCCCAUCCGGGUCACUCAUGAACACCUCUGUGGUGUAGCCAGCAGCAGUACUCCAGCAGGAUCCUCUGGCUGGGGCCUGAGGGGGACAGGACAGCUCCAUCCCCAGCAGGGAUCCUGGUGACCGGCUGGGAGCCCAGUGGUGUUUCUUCUUUGUAUCAUGAAUCAGAGUUUGGGGGCUUGUCCAGACUUCUGGUGGACGCAGGUGGACAGGGACUGCUGGUCACCUCUCCAGGGCUGGAGCUGCAGGCCUUGCUCAGCUCGGAGAAAGUCCCCGGGACCCCUUGGUGACAUUCUCAGGAGAAUGUGACUGGGCUGAUUAUGAGGAGCUAAAUGUAGCCCUUUCUUUCUUUGAACAAAUAAAAGUUAUUUAACAAUUUCCACUUAAUUUUCCCCCAAGUCAAACCCAUUUAUAGCUUUUCACUUCUUCACUCUCUU